ensembl:snRNA U6 U6 spliceosomal RNA
GUGCUUGCUUGGGCAGCACAUAUACUAAAAUUAAAAUGAUACAGAGAAGUUUAGCAUGGCCCCUGUACCUGGAUGACACACAAAUUUGUGAAGCAGUCCAUAUUUUU